GAGCUAUGAGGAAGAAACUAAUGCAUUCUGAUAUAUCACUGAAGACUGUCAGAUCCAACUCUGAGCUCACUUUCUCU
rnacentral:snoRNA from 1 species